rnacentral:rRNA from 1 species
UUUCUAAGAACUUUCAAGGGAUCAUUGUCUUACCCCGCAAGGCAGAACGACCUGUGAACAUGUAAAUACAACCGGGUGAUGUGGAGUCGGGCCUUGGUCCUUAUCCCCAUCCCCUCCCGGUGUGUGUUUGUCCUGCCUCAUUUGGGGUGCCAUAGAUGCAUGCUGGACCAUAACAAAACCCCGGCACGGCAUGUGCCAAGGAAAACAAAAAUGAGAAGGAACCGAACCGUGUUGCCCUGUUUGCAGUGUGCAUGCGGUUCGUGGACUCUUUGUAAUUACAAACGACUCUCGGCAACGGAUAUCUCGGCUCACGCAUCGAUGAAGAACGUAGCAAAAUGCGAUACUUGGUGUGAAUUGCAGAAUCCCGUGAACCAUCGAGUUUUUGAACGCAAGUUGCGCCCGAAGCCAUUCGGUCGAGGGCACGCCUGCCUGGGCGUCACGCAUCGCGUCGCCCCCAUCAUACAAACCCAACCGGUUGUCAUGGUGAUGGGGCGGAGAUUGGUCUCCCGUACUUGUUCCGGUUGGCCCAAAAACGAGUCCCCUCAGUGGACACACGACUAGUGGUGGUUUAACAGACCCUUGUCUUUAUCGUGUGUUAUGAGCUGCUAGGGAAGCCCUCAUCAAGACCCCAUCGUAUCGUUUUAGGACGGUGCUUCGACCGCGACCCCAGGUCAGGCGGGAC